rnacentral:tRNA from 1 species
CGAAAUAUAGCUUAAUAAAAGCAUCCUGCUUACACCAAGAAGUCGUCUGACUCCCCCAGACUGUUUCGAG